CGGUGCUGAAGCAACAAAUGCCCUGCUUCCAGGAAAAGCCUCUAAGCAUCAGGUAACAUCAAAUCGUACCCCAAACCGACACAGGUGGUCAGGUAGAGAAUACCAAGGCGCUUGAGAGAACUCGGGUGAAGGAACUAGGCAAAAUGGUGCCGUAACUUCGGGAGAAGGCACGCUGAUAUGUAGGUGAAGUCCCUCGCGGAUGGAGCUGAAAUCAGUCGAAGAUACCAGCUGGCUGCAACUGUUUAUUAAAAACACAGCACUGUGCAAACACGAAAGUGGACGUAUACGGUGUGACGCCUGCCCGGUGCCGGAAGGUUAAUUGAUGGGGUUAGCGCAAGCGAAGCUCUUGAUCGAAGCCCCGGUAAACGGCGGCCGUAACUAUAACGGUCCUAAGGUAGCGAAAUUCCUUGUCGGGUAAGUUCCGACCUGCACGAAUGGCGUAAUGAUGGCCAGGCUGUCUCCACCCGAGACUCAGUGAAAUUGAACUCGCUGUGAAGAUGCAGUGUACCCGCGGCAAGACGGAAAGACCCCGUGAACCUUUACUAUAGCUUGACACUGAACAUUGAGCCUUGAUGUGUAGGAUAGGUGGGAGGCUUUGAAGUGUGGACGCCAGUCUGCAUGGAGCCGACCUUGAAAUACCACCCUUUAAUGUUUGAUGUUCUAACGUUGACCCGUAAUCCGGGUUGCGGACAGUGUCUGGUGGGUAGUUUGACUGGGGCGGUCUCCUCCUAAAGAGUAACGGAGGAGCACGAAGGUUGGCUAAUCCUGGUCGGACAUCAGGAGGUUAGUGCAAUGGCAUAAGCCAGCUUGACUGCGAGCGUGACGGCGCGAGCAGGUGCGAAAGCAGGUCAUAGUGAUCCGGUGGUUCUGAAUGGAAGGGCCAUCGCUCAACGGAUAAAAGGUACUCCGGGGAUAACAGGCUGAUACCGCCCAAGAGUUCAUAUCGACGGCGGUGUUUGGCACCUCGAUGUCGGCUCAUCACAUCCUGGGGCUGAAGUAGGUCCCAAGGGUAUGGCUGUUCGCCAUUUAAAGUGGUACGCGAGCUGGGUUUAGAACGUCGUGAGACAGUUCGGUCCCUAUCUGCCGUGGGCGCUGGAGAACUGAGGGGGGCUGCUCCUAGUACGAGAGGACCGGAGUGGACGCAUCACUGGUGUUCGGGUUGUCAUGCCAAUGGCACUGCCCGGUAGCUAAAUGCGGAAGAGAUAAGUGCUGAAAGCAUCUAAGCACGAAACUUGCCCCGAGAUGAGUUCUCCCUGACUCCUUGAGAGUCCUGAAGGAACGUUGAAGACGACGACGUUGAUAGGCCGGGUGUGUAAGCGCAGCGAUGCGUUGAGCUAACCGGUACUAAUGAACCGUGAGG
rnacentral:rRNA from 1 species